AAUUUCUAUAGGUUAUUUUUCGAAGAUUGGAGGGUCAUGGCGGCAAUUUUGCUAUACUUGCAGGAUUAAGGUUUUAGAUCUAGGUGCCUUUGCCGAACGCUAUUUAAACGCCUCGCAGGAUGCCCAAAACUCGUUCUGCAUCGCUCUUCUCACUCCAAAAUCUCCUCUAUGGGUUAUUUUGCAGGUAUUAUGCCCUAAUUUUGUUGCGGCUGAUCCGCGGAUCUUAGUCUUAAUCGUGUAUGCACUCGCAAUAUAUCUUCGUCUGAUGCGCUGUACGUUGCCAAUAAGGAUUUGGGGCCGAGAUUCUGGCACUUGCCUUUUAUGUUCGUAAGGCUGUGCAUUUAGGUGCUCCUACAUUUGCAUAUCCAAUAUUGUUCUUUUUGAAAUUAUUGCCAUUUCGAUAUCCCUUUACUUGCUUUUUUGGAUAUACAUCCUUUUAAUUCUAAGAUUUGAGAAAUAUGUUUGUUCAUUUGAUAAUGUGGCGCAACAACUUGUUCAGUUUCAUUCACGUAUUUUUCUUGAAUUGCCGUUAUGUUUUUGGAUACCGUUGGAAGGUAUGACCUGUAAUUUGUAGUAAAUGGUCGAUCUGUUGGUGACGAAUGAUGAGAUCCAGCGGGAGGAAAUAGGAAGAAAUCAGGUAUUCUAUGGAGGCACAUGCUUGGCCUUUGAUUUAAUCUUGCUUUUUUUCGGCCGCGGGCAGUGCCAAUUUGUACCCAACCUGAAAUAUUUCUUCAAUCUGUGAAACACAUGAAUUCCAAGACCCGCACUCUGAUUAACAUAGAAGCUGCUUAGAAUGUGAAACAGGGCCGAGUAUUGACGAGGGCUACCAAUUCUAUAUCACAGGAUGCUCCCUUGCCAACGUUUAAUUUCAUUCGGAUGUUAAUCUACAAGCCAGAAGACCAAGUUAUGUUAUGUACAUAUGCAAAUUUACCUUCAUUCCAUACACGUUUUUGUCAACCUUGGACCAUUUACAAAUAAAGUGAAUUUGUACACACCUUGGACUUGUUAAUAACGAAAUAAACCAUUUGAAUGUCAA